GUCUAUGGCCAUACCACCCUGAACUUACCGGAUCUCAUUUGAUCUCGGAAGCUAAGCAGGGUCGGGCCUGGUUAGUACUUGGAUGGGAGAAAUUGCACGUGGGACCUUGCACUUGCUAGCUU
rnacentral:rRNA from 1 species